rnacentral:rRNA from 1 species
AUACAGGAAGAAACGUACCCUCGUGAGGGUGCCUGACGGUACUGUAGGAAUAAGCACCGGCUAACUCCGUGCCAGCAGCCGCGGUAAUACGGAGGGUGCGAGCGUUAUCCGGAUUUAUUGGGUUAAAGGUCCGUAGGCGGAUUAAUAAGUCAGUAGUGAAAUCCCAUCGCUUAACGAUGGAACUGCCAUUGAUACUGUUAGUCUUGAAUGAGGGUGCAGUGGUUGGAAUGUGUAGUGUAGCGGUGAAAUGCAUAGAUAUUACACAGAACACCGAUUGCGAAGGCAGAUCACUAACCCUAAAUUGACGCUGAGGGACGAAAGCGUGGGGAGCGAACAGGAUUAGAUACCCUGGUAG